rnacentral:rRNA from 1 species
GAUGAACGCUGGCGGCGUGCCUAAUACAUGCAAGUCGAGCGAACAGAUGAGGAGCUUGCUCCUCUGACGUUAGCGGCGGACGGGUGAGUAACACGUGGAUAACCUACCUAUAAGACUGGGAUAACUUCGGGAAACCGGAGCUAAUACCGGAUAAUAUAUUGAACCGCAUGGUUCAAUAGUGAAAGCCGGUUUUGCUGUCACUUAGAGAUGGAUCCGCGCCGCAUUAGCUAGUUGGUAAGGUAACGGCUUACCAAGGCAACGAUGCGUAGCCGACCUGAGAGGAUGAUCGGCCACACUGGAACUGAGACACGGUCCAGACUCCUACGGGAGGCAGCAGUAGGGAAUCUUCCGCAAUGGGCGAAAGCCUGACGGAGCAACGCCGCGUGAGUGAUGAAGGUCUUCGGAUCGUAAAACUCUGUUAUUAGGGAAGAACAAAUGUGUAAGUAACUAUGCACGUCUUGACGGUACCUAAUCAGAAAGCCACGGCUAACUACGUG